AUUUUCAUUUGUUUUUUCUUUAUUUUUCACAGUAUAAAUUACAAGUGCAAUUGCAAUGUCCAAAUUCAAUCCCCACUUUUCAUCAAUCCAAUCUCCUUUCACCUAGAAUAUCUGAUUGAGCAGAUGCAAGGAGAAAGCUGUUGGAAUUAUAAUCGAAGCUGAUCAAUCUAGAUUGGAACUAUUAUAGUUAAAAGCAUUUCUUAUCACAAUUUGAUUUUAACUAGGUAGCACGUACUUUAUAAUAAUAGCAUUAUGUAUGUGUUUUUGCAUGAUGCUUUUUGGUGUCCAUUUAUGCAACUUGCUAUAAGUUGUCGCUUGGCUUUACAAAUAGAAUAGAUGAUUAUCAUUGCAACUUACAAAAAAUUCCGCAGGAUUAGGGAAUGGGGUCGCUUUGCCAUUAGUUAAGCACCAUGACAGGCUGAUGUUGAGUCUUCGACGUUCAUUCAAUAACCAUUAACCAAUCCAGAACGCAACUUGCAGAUAGUUGUGAUUGUCUACGAAAAAAGCAUCCAAUUAGUUUCUGGGCUUGGCAAAUACUUUCUUUUAGAUGAUCAUGCACUCUUAUUUCUACUUGCAGAAGCAAAUUAUUUAGCAAAUUGUCUGGUUUGAAAAAUGCUGCAAUCCCACUUGUUAAAGAAGUGACAGUUCUUUAGUCAUAUGGCAAUUUUCACACAACUUACUUGAUUGGUGUGACAUUGACAAUCCACCAAGUGGCUUUGCAGAAUGGGGACAACGGUAUUACCUCUUAGCAAAGUAACACUUGGAUGCAAUAAUGGCUCUUGUUUUGAGUAAUAUUUCAAUGUACACUUAUAGUGUGUUUACUUCAUGAAAUGAGGAAUGUGAAUGAAACUCAUGUUUAUUUGGCAAAAUAUAAUUUGUGAAUGAGAAUAAAAUGUGUAAGUCCCACAUAAUUUGAGAAUAAGGAAUGAGAAUCUCAUUCCCAUGGGAGAGUUGGGAAUGAAAAUGGAAUAUAUGUUUACUUUUAUAUCCCUAUAAUUUUUUCAUAUUUCCUAAAUUACCUUCAUUCAAAUCACAAUUGAUUUUAUUAUUUUAAAUGCCAUUAAUAAUAAUAAUAAUAAUAAUAAUAAUAAUAAUAUAUUAAUUUUAUUAUUUUAGUUAUUAUUAUUAUUAUCUAAAUAUAAAAUAAUAUUAAUUAAAAAAUAAUAUUAAUAAAUGUUAAUAAUGAUAAUAUUAAUAAAAAUAAUAAUAACAAUAAUUAAUAAUAAAUAAAAUAAUAAAAUAAAUAAAAUUUAAUAAUAAUAAUAAAUGUUAAUAAUGAUAAUAUAUUAUUAUUAAAUUUUAUUAACUUUAUUAUUUUAGUUAUUAUUAAUUAUUGUUAAUAUUAUUUUUAUUAGUAAUAAUAACAACAAUAAUGAUAAUAUUGUUAAUAAUGAUAAAUUAAUUAUUUUUAUUAAUUAUUAAUACUAUGGGUAUUUUGGUAAAUUGAUUCUCAUUCCUAUUUCUCAUUCCCAUUUAUUUUGCCAAGUAAACACAUCAAUGGCAUUCCAACACAUUCACAUUCCCAUUUAUUUUUGCCAAGUAAAUAUUGAAAUGUAAUUCUCAUUCCUCAUUCCCAUUCCACCCCAUUUCCAUUCCAUGAAGUAAACGGACCAUUAAGAUCUAGAUUAAGGUUUUGGUUCUUAAUUUAUUUCUUUGUUUUUCUUUCUUUUUUUUUACUGGCUUUAAGGACAAAACUCUUUUAUAAUCUUAUCUUUGGUACUAGUUAAGAAUUGUGAGAGCUUAAUCCUUUAUUAAUGAUUGAUUUUGGAAACCACUACAUGGGAGAAGCUUUUGAUAUGUAAUAUAUUUUAUACUUGAGAGGAUUAUCCAUAAUCAAACCAAAUAUAAGGAUAACAAAUGGUUGCAAUCCACGACACGAGGAACUCACUUGGUUAGCACUUGGGAUUUUGUAUCGCAUGCAACAUACUGUUAGCCCGUCAUAAACUGAUUAAUUAGUGUAGUUUUGGCUUAAUUAUUCUAUUAUUUCAGCAUGGAUUAGUUGGCAAUCAAUAAUUGUCGUAGUUAACAGAUGGCACAUGGCGCAACAUCAGAAAGAAAAUAACUCAAGAUAUUCAGUGUCAUUACUUUUAGUUGAUCUUUUUUGCGUAGUUUGGCCAGUAUUUUUGAGUCCCAGUUUUAUCAAAUCAAUCAUCAUUACUCAAUUAUUAUGAUUAAGAAAAUUUACCAUUCAAAGUAGCAUAUGAAAUAUAUAUAAUUAAAUUUUCCGCAAUAUUAGUUAAUUAGUGAAAUAGUUCACCGAUUGGUCAAUCAAUCACAUUCCUCUAUUACUUCUAUUAUUAUUAUUAUUAUUUUAUUGAAACCACUAAGAUAGUAGAAGGUUAGGCUGGACCUCUACCUGUCAUAUUUUAUUAUUGUUAAAUCAGUCACAUUCUUAAGACCGGAAUCUUCCUAAGACUUUUUCUUAUCAUCGAAUCUAGACCUUCACUUCAAAACUAUAUAAUUUAUGUUUAACAAGAUCACAUGAUUAAUAAUUAAAUAAGUAGUGUUUUAAGUUACAUAUAUAUUUUAAUUUACAUUGCACCCAUCUCUCUCCAAUUUAAUUAAACGUACUUGCCUCUGCCCCCAACCUAAAUUAGACGCAUUCCCCUCUGACUCAAACCCAUAAUUUUUUUUUUAAUUUCACUGCAAGAAUUAAGCCAACUGAACAAUCUUUUGAGAAUGCAUCGUAUUUCAAUAUUUCAAAGCAAUAUUGAAAAAUUAAAAGCAAUCAUCACCUAGUAAAAAAUAAAAAUAAAAAUCAACCAGUGCCACCUAUGUGUGGCACGUGCAAGAUUAAGUCCGCCUGAAAAUUUUUUCCGCCCAAUCAAUUGUUAAUCUAAUUCUCAGUGUGCACAUGGGUGCACAUGUGCGCCCAUCCGUAUGAAUAUCCUUAUAGAUAUGCUUUACAUUUUAUCUUAAGUGGAAUUAGUGAUUCAAAUUACUAAUUUAAUCGUCGUCGUUGAAUCUUUUAAGUACAUAUGACCACAGAUUUGCAAAUGUUAAACCUAAUACUUCCUGUUGCACGUCAAGGCGUCUCAAUUAACCUCUUUGAAUAUUGAAAAGAUCAAAAUCUUUUUUCAUUUCUUAAACAAAUUGCUAGGCAGGUAAGAUUAAGUAAAUCAAUAAAGUUUUUAAUUAGGUACGAGGUAAUUAAAUUGCCGUUGCCCAACCCAUAUAUUUUUUUCAAUACUCACAAUAUAAAGUUAAAAGCUUUCAACACCCAUUCACUAACUUAUGAAUUAUGUAUGGGAAUUGGGACGCGAAUCAAGCGGUCCUCUCCUCUUUCUCUAAUCAAUAUAUUCGAUAAUAUGGGAUAGCUAGCCAUACAAUUAAUUAAUUAACAUGUAUACACUAAUAUAAUUUUUUUUAAAUACAAUAAUAUAAUAAUGAGUAGAUUCCCUAACUGACCUCACUAACCGGAAAUAAACUACUAACUGCCAAUACCCACCUAAAUCUAGCACCUCCAUUGAUUAAGAUGACAGUGAAUGAUGUGGUAAUAAUAUUGUUAUUACCUUGGAAAAUAAAUGAGGUCUUACUUCUUCUUCUUCUUCUUCUUCUUCUUCUUCGUCUUUGACUCUCUUACUCUCGUGUUAGCUUUUCGGUUUCCCACUUUUCCAUAGUGCAUGCAUUAGUAAAAGAAGGGUUAAAUUCUUCUAGAAAAUCAUGUAUUAAUCCAAGAAUUAGGUAUGAAAUUCCUCUUUUAACAAGCGAAAACGAAACGAAGCCAAUGUUGGACCGUAGUCGAAAAGUUGACAAGACGAAGGUAGGCUGCUUAAGAAAGAGAGAGUGAUUCGAUGGGAUUGUGUGUAUUUGUUGGCACAUCCUUUGCAUAGAAUAUGGGAAGAGUAUGUGUGGCGCGGUCGGUUGGAUAUUUAUUUGAUCAUUAGUAUUAU
rnacentral:lncRNA from 1 species